CGCGUAGGCGGACUGGAAAGUCAGAGGUGAAAUCCCAGGGCUCAACCUUGGAACUGCCUUUGAAACUAUCAGUCUGGAGUUCGAGAGAGGUGAGUGGAAUUCCGAGUGUAGAGGUGAAAUUCGUAGAUAUUCGGAAGAACACCAGUGGCGAAGGCGACACACUGGCUCAUUACUGACGCUGAGGCGCGAAAGCGUGGGGAGCAAACA
rnacentral:rRNA from 1 species